rnacentral:misc_RNA from 1 species
GAUGAAGAACGUAGCGAAAUGCGAUAAGUAAUGUGAAUUGCAGAAUUCAGUGAAUCAUCGAAUCUUUGAACGCACAUUGCGCCCGCCAGUAUUCUGGCGGGCAUGCCUGUCCGAGCGUCAUUUCAACCCUCGAACCCCUCCGGGGGGUCGGCGUUGGGGACCUCGGGAGCCCCUAAGACGGGAUCCCGGCCCCGAAAUACAGUGGCGGUCUCGCCGCAGCCUCUCCUGCGCAGUAGUUUGCACAACUCGCACCGGGAGCGCGGCGCGUCCACGUCCGUAAAACACCCAACUUCUGAAAUGUUGACAUCGGAUCAGGUAGGAAUACCCGCUGAACUUAAGCAUAUCAAUAAGCGGAGGA